UGGGGAAUAUUGGACAAUGGGCGAAAGCCUGAUGCAGCGACGCCGCGUGGGGGAUGAAGGCCUUAGGGUCGUAAACCCCUUUCAGCAGGGACGAAAAUGACGGUACCUGCAGAAGAAGCCCCGGCCAACUACGUGCCAGCAGCCGCGGUAAGACGUAGGGGGCGAGCGUUGUCCGGAUUUAUUGGGCGUAAAGAGCUCGUAGGCGGUUGCGUAAGUCGGAUGUGAAACUCAGGGCUCAACCCUGAGACGCCAUCCGAUACUGCGCUGACUUGAAUCCAGUAGGGGAGUGUGGAAUUCCUGGUGUAGCGGUGAAAUGCGCAGAUAUCAGGAGGAACACCCAUGGCGAAGGCAGCACUCUGGGCUGGUAUUGACGCUGAGGAGCGAAAGCAUGGGUAGCGAACAGGAUUAGAUACCCUCGUAGUCCCUGAGCGGGCUGGCAAGGCGCAU
rnacentral:rRNA from 1 species